UAAGGGAGCUAUACCGGGAGUGCUCCACCCGAUCCCAUACCGAACUCGGAAGUGAAAUCUCCCAAGGCCGAUGAUAGUGUUUUUAAUGCGAAAGUAGGUAGCUCUCUUAC
rnacentral:rRNA from 1 species